rnacentral:ncRNA from 1 species
GAGUAUCUCUACGAGUAUUGGAAUGGGCGGUCCCUGCGGAUGCUGAUGCAAUGUGAUUUAUACCCAAUUCUCUACAUGUGAAAGUGAAUAAAUUAAAAGAAGCACAGGUAAAUGACGGGAGUAACUAUGAAUCUCUUAAGAUAUCUAGAUGCCUCGUCAUCUAAUUAGUGACAUGCGUGAAUGGAUAAACAAGAUUCUC